CACUGAGGGGUGAAGACGCAGGAAAACUAGUGUGUGGUGCAGUCGCAAGGACGACCUUUUGGUGUUGAAAAUAAGCAAAUGCAUAUAUCAUUAGACUUGGGCGUGAGGUACAAGCCAUUUUCUGUUUAGACUGGCGAGCCAUCAAAAAUAUUGUUGUAGGAUAAGAGCCCACCCCCCAAGAUGCUGGACUAGAUGCACCUGCAAGAAAUCUUUUUGCUGGCAAUCAGAAACCACUCGCCCAUUAAUGUUAUACCUGAAUAGAUAGAUUUUUUAAGGUUUUCUAUUUUGACAUGGAAUGAUGUUAAUAGUGAUAAAUAAAAAGGAGUAAGAUUCUGAAAAUGUUUGAAGAGAUUUAAAAUUAAAGUUAAAUUAAGCUUUGUUCAUGUGCCUAUGAUCACUCACUCGAUCUCUAGUAUAAAGUAGUGUUUUUCCAUGCUGUCACUGUUGCCAUCCGACCUAUUUUUCUUUACCAAUUUGCCAAAUCAAAUAUUUGUUAUACUAAAUUUGGUGGAAGUGUUUGUUUGACAAAAGGUCACGUUCAGUCUUAAAGUCAUGAUCGAAUUAUUUUCAUAAAAUUUUUUUUUUUUUUAGUUUGGAAUUUUUUGCUUGUAAUUUUGCAUAUUUUUGUUUUACUUUAGUUUUACUGGUACGUGUAGCUUUCUUCGGCGAAAAAGCUGGUUCCUUUCGAAAAUCGGCAUGAUUGGUUGGUUUUCAUACGGUUAUUUAGACAUUUUUUGUUGCUUGGCAGUCUUGUUGUCCAGUGUUUUCCUUUACUCAGUAUGUAAGGGGUUAUCACAAUUGCAUUAAAAUCUUUUUUAUGGGUUACUGUAAGUACUUUUUGUUUACAGACACUAUGGGAAUUCAUUCUCGCCAUGGAAUUGUAAUGUAGUAGUUUAUCGUUUAUAUUUGAUAUCUCUAAAAGUCUGUAAAAUUUACGGAUGCUCUCUUACUUUCUCGCUUGCCUUUAAAUUUCCGAUGUAAUUAUGGCUUACUUAUGUAGGAUGAUGGCUGUGUUAUACGAGCUUUUAUGUUCAGUUGAUAAUUUUAGACAUGGAGCAUUUGUUGAUGUAGUUGUUUUUUGAUGGUUUAAAAGAAAAUCAUGAAAUUGUGAACGGUGAAACGUUUACUUCUUUUAGCCAAGUAUUGUGGUAUGUAUUGUAGUUUUAUUUUUAGAAUUUUUAAAACUUUUCAUCCAUAUUGUUAUUGAUCCGUUUCUUUGAAUAUCUUUGUGUGAUCUCCAUUUAUAUUCCACAAUUACUAUCUAGUUGAAAUUUUGUUUCACUUCAAACUUGUUUUUUUAAGCAUACUUUUUUAAUAUCCCUUGGAACAAACUCAUUCAUUAAAAUUGAUUUUGAAUCAUGCCCAAUAUGAUCCAUAAUUAGUAUCAUAUGGCAUUUUGACAUUUAAAAAUUCUUUAACCUGAAAAAAUGUCCGAUUUUCCACCUACCUUCAUUAGAAAAUGCAUUUACAUUCUUGCCUUUAGAAAUUGUAAUCGCUAUUUAUUAUCCUUUAGAAAAAACUUGUUGGUCCCCUAGAGAUAAUGUUUUCUCAAUUUUCUUUACAUAGUUCAGAUCAAUAUUUGGAUUUUGCGGCUGCAAAUAAAUUCAUAAUGGACGA